GACGUAGGGCGCGAGCGUUGUCCGGAUUUAUUGGGCGUAAAGAGCUCGUAGGCGGCUUGUCGCGUCGACUGUGAAAACCCGCGGCUCAACUGCGGGACUGCAGUCGAUACGGGCAGGCUAGAGUUCGGUAGGGGAGACUGGAAUUCCUGGUGUAGCGGUGAAAUGCGCAGAUAUCAGGAGGAACACCCGUGGCGAAAGCGGCUCUCUGGAACGGUACUGACGCUGAGACGCGAAAGCGUGGGGAGCGAACAGG
rnacentral:rRNA from 1 species